UCCUACGGGAGGCAGCAGUGGGGAAUUUUGGACAAUGGGCGAAAGCCUGAUCCAGCAAUGCCGCGUGUGUGAAGAAGGCCUUCGGGUUGUAAAGCACUUUUGUCCGGAAAGAAAUGGCUCUGGUUAAUACCCGGAGUUGAUGACGGUACCGGAAGAAUAAGGACCGGCUAACUACGUGCCAGCAGCCGCGGUAAUAAUCU
rnacentral:rRNA from 1 species